UUCAAGGAAGCCAGCUUGCUGAGACCUGGAUUUCUGACAGAGGAGAAAAAAAUUGAAGCUUCGCAGAGCUCGCCAAUCCUUCUCAGAGCAUUGUUACAGUCUGUGUCAUGACUCACUAAGCAGAGUGAGAACAUCGCUGCAGCACAUCAUGAAGCUUCGUGGUCUCCAAGAGAAGGAGCAGAGCACCGGGCAGGCGGGCUCCCGGGCAGUCCCAGGUCGGGCAGCGGGCGCGGCACAGUCCGGGCACACUGCGGCUGCUCUGGGAUUGACACUCGGCUACCCCUGAAACCGCUUUUCACACAUGACAGCGUGGACAAGUUAGAAAUGCAUUUCAUUUGAAGAUUUCUGCUGGACAAUCUCUAAUUUCCAGUAAACUUGCUGCACUGAAUGUUAUCUCCUGAUUUUCGACUGCGACAGGCCGGCGAUGAAGCCGAACAGUCACCACGCUGCUGCUUUUACUUUACAGCCCUUAAGAUCCAGCCUCUGCCGGGAACCCCCCGCUCCUAUCCAAGGAUCAGGGGAGGGCGGAGCUGGGCGAAAACACGGGAGAAAGGAAGGAAAAUAUUCCUGACUGGCCAUGGAACCCGAAACUCCCGGAGGCGCCCGCACGCCCGGGCUGUCCCAUGGCUCUGACCCUCCCUCAGUCACUAACCCACCCUCACAGCCCACGGCGCCACAGGGGCGGCGCUGCGCCUUUAAGGGCGAGGCUCCGCCCCUCCCCGCCCAGCAGGCACCCGCCCCCUCUGCCCCGCCCGCGAUGACCUCACCUCUGCCUUUCCAUUGGCUGAGCGUCCUGUCAGUCAGGCGGGGCACGCCCCUCUCUCCCGUUAUCUUCCCCAGGUGCUCUCUGUCCAUUGGUCGCUUCUCGCGCCUCUCACUGGCGCCUCUGAGCUCUGAUUGGCGGGGCUGGCGGGGGGUGGGCGCUUCCGCGGUUGCGAGGCGCCGGCCGGCG